CCUACGGGUGGCAGCAGUGGGGAAUAUUGCUCAAUGGGCGAAACCCUGAUGCAGCGACGCCGCGUGAGUGACGAAGUACUUCGUUAUGUUAAGCUCUUUCAGCAGGGAAGCAAAUGACGGUACCUGAGUAAGAAGCCCCGGCUAACUACGAGCCAGCACCCGUGGUAAGACGCAGGGGGCAAGCGUUAUCCGGAUUUACUGGGCGUAAAGGGAGCGUAGACGGCAGUGCAAGUCUGGAGUGAAAGGCUGGGGCUCAACCCCCGGACUGCUCUGGAAACUGUACGGCUGGAGUGCAGGAGAGGUAAGUGGAAGUCCGAGUGUAGCGGUGAAAUGCGUAGAUAUUAGGAAGAACACCAGUGGCGAAGGCGGCUUACUGGACUGUAACUGACGUUGAGGCUCGAAAGCGUGGGUAGCGAACAGGAUUAGAUACCCCAGUAGUC
rnacentral:rRNA from 1 species